AUGGCGUUCGCGGUGGCUGUCCCACGCCCGAGACCCAUCCUCCGUCUGGACCGUCUCCACCUCACCCCCAUCCGCGCCGCCGCGGCAAGAACCCCCGUUCCCCAGCCCCUCCCCGACGAGCUUCAGCUCGUCGCCGACGUUCGCUCCCCGCAUAACCACAUCCGCGUCGCUGACGUCUCCCCGCGCGCUGCCGGCCACCCCCUCGCCGGCGCGCGCCUCCUCCUCCUCGACGGCCCCGGCAACAUCCACUCCGUCUCCUUCCCUCGUCGCCCCUAUUGCCCCCUCACUUCCACCUACUUCGACGUCUUCACCACCCUCCCGCCUCUCCUCCCGCGCCCAUCCCUCGCCGUCCUCGGCUUCGGCGCGGGCUCCGCCGCCCGCGCCCUCCUCCAUUUCUACCCGGACAUAUCCGUCCAUGGCUGGGAACUCGACCCCUCUGUCAUCGCCGUCGCCCGGGACCUCGGGGAGCUCGAAAAGGACCACGCCGGCAGGCUGGUCAUCCACGUCGGCGACGCGCUGGAGGCUGAGGUCGUGCCGGGAGGCUUCGGCGGCGUGCUGGUGGAUCUGUUCGCCAACGGGAGCGUGCUGCCGGAGCUCCAAAAGGCGGACGCCUGGCGCCAGAUAGGCGGGAUGGUGGCGCCGGGAGGGAGGGUGAUGGUGAACUGCGGCGGGGGCUGCGUGGAGGCGGAGGAGGAGGGGAGAGACGGCGAGGCAGUGAAGGAUGCGACGCUGCGGGCGAUGGCAGCAGCGUUCGGGGAGGGAAUGGUAGCGGUGCUGAGUGUGGAUGAAAGUUCGGUGGCGAUGACAGGGCCGGUGGUGCGGGCAUCGGAGGAGGCGGCGGCGUGGAAGGCUAGGCUGCCGCCGGAGCUGGGCCACUACAUUGACAUGUGGAAGCUGUACAAUGGCAAUGGUGAUACAUGA
rnacentral:rRNA from 1 species